rnacentral:rRNA from 1 species
GAUGAACGCUGGCGGCGUGCCUAACACAUGCAAGUCGAGCGUGAUUUAUGAGGACGAAACUUCGGUCUAGGAAUCAUAAUGAAAGCGGCGGACGGGUGAGUAACGCGUAGGCAACCUACCCUUGACACAGGGAUAGCCUCGGGAAACCGGGAUUAAAACCUGAUGACGCCAAACAGUCACAUGGCUGUUUGGCCAAAGAUUCAUCGGUCAAGGAUGGGCCUGCGUCUGAUUAGUUAGUUGGUGGGGUAACGACCUACCAAGACGACGAUCAGUAGCCGACCUGAGAGGGUGAUCGGCCACAUUGGAACUGAGACACGGUCCAAACUCCUACGGGAGGCAGCAGUGGGGAAUAUUGCACAAUGGGCGAAAGCCUGAUGCAGCAACGCCGCGUGAGCGAUGAAGGCCUUUGGGUCGUAAAGCUCUGUCCUUGGGGAAGAAACAAAUGACGGUACCCAAGGAGGAAGCCCCGGCUAACUACGUGCCAGCCGCCGCCGUAA